UUGGCAGGCUUCCUGAAGGCAGCAGGAUUUGGAGAGAUACAAGCAGCUUGGGGUCGAGCUUCCACCAGAACUUUCCAGAUUCUUUGGGCAUAUGAAUGCCAGUGUCUAGGGUGAAGCUUCCACCAGAACAGUGUGGGUACCUCACAAGCAAACAUUUCUCUGCUGUUUAUGUUUGAGUCCCACACAACCAAUGAAGACCUGCCUGACAGCAAUCCCUGGACACCCUGGAAAGAAAAUGGGCCACACCUCCUCGACUGCACUGGAUCCAACUUGCUCCAUUUCAACUGACAUUCCUGCCGGAGAUUCGGGUACUGACUUCAAUCAAGUUGAGGAUUUCAAGCGAGAUCUUCAAUCAAGCAAAUCCCAUCUAACAUGGACUGGAUACAAUUUAUUCAAGGCUUUUACUAUACUAACAUUUUCUUCCUAUAGGACCCUACAAGGAUGUCAUGGUCCCAUUUCAGCAGGAAGUAACUUGGAGGAUGCUAAGCCCCCCUUUCUCCCAAUGUUGUCACUUAGGAUAGUGUAUAUACCUAGUUAGGGAUAGCUUCCUAUUGUUUAUGGUUGGGAUUAGAAGGAGGUGUUCAGGCUUGGACACCUCUUUCAGAUGACUUUAGGGUUUAGUUAAAAUAGUUAGGAUGUGACAUAAGCAGAUUGUUGUAUCUUCUUAUAUUUCACCUUUAUGAUUGUUAAUUUUGGAUACUUUGCCCUGUUAAGUAUCAAUCCUCUUUUAGACUGAAAGGGGAAUUGUAGUGGAACCUGUAGCCAUGCCUGCUUAGGACCUGGCUAAAGGUGUCCCUGACCACUCCUGCCAGGGUGUGAUCAGGGUGACAUAGAUUGAGAGGUUCAGGUGGCUGGGUUUCACUUUCGGUUUCACCUUUUGGUUUGCUGUACAGAGUGCUGCUAUGCCUCCUGGGUAGGUCACUCUGUAAGGCUUUUUCCUAUUAAAUACCCUUGUAUUUCUACCUGGCUCUUUAUUGGUAAUUUCCC
ensembl:lncRNA